AGAGCGAACGCUGGCGGCGUGCUUAACACAUGCAAGUCGAGUGCGCGCCUGUAGCAAUACAGGUGGCGCACGGCGCACGGGUGCGUAACACGUGGGUAAUCUGCCCUUCGAUGGGGAAUAACUCCGGGAAACCGAAGCUAAUUCCGCAUAACAUUCCUUGAACUUCGGUUUGGGGACUCAAAGCCGUAAGGCGUCGGAGGAGGAACCCGCGCACGAUUAGCUAGUUGGUAGGGUAACGGCCUACCAAGGCUUUGAUCGUUAGCUGGUCUGAGAGGAUGGCCAGCCACACUGGAACUGAGACACGGUCCAGACUCCUACGGGAGGCAGCAGUGGGGAAUCUUGCACAAUGGGCGAAAGCCUGAUGCAGCGACGCCGCGUGGGGGAUGAAGCUUUUCGGAGUGUAAACCCCUUUCGACCCGGACGAAUGCCCCGCAAGGGGACUGGACGGUACGGGUAUAAGAAGCCCCGGCUAACUACGCGCCAGCAGCCGC
rnacentral:rRNA from 1 species